UCAUCUCUAAGCCCUUUACACGAAUCUCUCUCUUUAAAGCCAUUGUCCAAACAACUAUUUCUUUAAUUAUCUCAUCCUCUCAUUCUCAUCUGCCAAACACUAAGAAUACAUCCUUCACCCACCUAUUUCAUAUCUCUCUACCUUCCAUAUGAGGAGUUAGUUGGGCCUCAUCUUUGUCCCAUUUUGAGCUCAUUAAUUGUUUUUAGCUUUAGGGCUAUGCCUCCUCACUCCUCAGGUCUUCUUUGUGGAAGAAGAAAGCUUGCUGAAACGAGUGGAAUCGGAAAAGAGGAGAUGGAUGCCGCCGCCUCACCGCCGCAGACGCAGUCGCCGACAAAGUCGCAGCCGACGCCGGCAACAAUGUCGCAGCCGUCGCUGACGCUAUCCCGGCAGGGAUAGUUCUUAAGACGACUACUGUUUUGGAAGCACAGCCUGUUGUGUUGACAGGUCGGGCCGAAGGGUAGCUGGUCGGAUAUUUGACUGCUUUGUUUGAAGUUCACAGGUCAGGCCGGCAAGGAUUGUUUUGGGUGGGAAUGAUGUAUGUUUUGGAUGAAUGUUUUGACCAACAAAUGGGCAUAUGUUAUAUAUAAUAUGAAAUUAUUAUAAUUAUCGAAAAAAAUAUAUAUAUUCUCACUUGAAUUGUGAGGCUCAUAACUCCCUUAAUAAGCUUGUUUUUAGCAUUUUAGAAAGACCUCCUGUAGUACAGUCCAGUUGUGAGCCUCAUAACUCCCUUAAUAUUUUGAAUAAUUUUUUGAAACUUUAAUGAUUAGAAAGGUUCGUCUUAGCUUUAGUUUAAUAUAUCAGGGUGCAGAAUCUGACAUGUGUGUCUUAAUUGUAUCAUAACUCGAGUUGUACAUUGAGUUUUUGCAUUAUUCUAGUGGGGUUUGAAAUUAGAUUCAUGGUA